GGUUUCAUGGUUGAACGGUAAUUACACUUGCCUCUCACCCUAGAGUCCCGGGUUCGAUCCCAGGUCGAGACGCU